CUUAAAUUUUUUGCGCUAAUUUGCCCACCAAUUUAGUAGGGAAAAACUCACACUAACAAACAUUACGUAUUUUAUAUACCACAAAUUUUACGUAAUUCUAUUCGUUAUUUCCUGUCUAGGUAUGAUUUGUCUAAGAUUACCUCUAAAAAAU